UCCGUAGGCGGGCAAUUAAGUCAGAGGUGAAAUCCCACAGCUCAACUGUGGAACUGCUUUUGAUACUGGUUGUCUUGAGUUACAGUGAAGUAGAUAGAAUACGUAGUGUAGCGGUGAAAUGCAUAGAUAUUACAUAGAAUACCGAUUGCGAAGGCAGUCUACUAACUGUAUACUGACGCUAAUGGACGAAAGCGUGGGGAGCGAACAGGAUUAGAUACCCUGGUAGUCC
rnacentral:rRNA from 1 species